AUCUGGGCACUUCCUCUGCUGCUACAGGUGGGCCUCAGCUGCAUUUUAUUUUCAGCACCUACGUUAAAAAAAGUUUGUUUAGGAGCCCUCGCAUCUGGAUGUUGAGCUUAGUGAUGUCUAGUGGCAGCGCCGUAAUUGCACACGGCUACACCCUGAAUCACCUGUUCUGCACAUUCUGUUUCUUCAUUUUCUGACAGACUUUGAAGAUAUUGCCCUAUUGCCACACAGACUCCAAAAAGAGCCUUUGUGGAAUAGUAGAAUCCAGGAGGAAAGUCAAAGUCAGACACAUUCA